UAUUCAGAGCAGGACGAGAUUCGAAGGAUGAAAAAUAUUUAGUCGAAACAGCCCGAAAAAUAUCGACAAAACUCUUAAAAUUAUUUCUGAACAAUCACAUGCCUUGCACCUUCUAGCCUACUUGCUUCCUUAGUAAUUAGGUCACAUGACAUGCACCUACUUGCUUACCUGCUUGCUCAUUAGAAGUCACAUGCUGGUCACAAGCUGUUUGCUUCAGCUGCUUGU
rnacentral:lncRNA from 1 species